UAAUGCAAAGUAGUCCUUUGACCUGAGGCAUCAUAGUUGUCUUGUGGUUAAGUCCUUGAUCUUUAAUUAUGUCAAAGUCACUCCAUCAGGAGGGUGUCCACGGCAUCGUUGGGGUCAAGCCACUUAGCUAUGGAGACAAGUGAAUGCGCAACAAGGGAUCUCUAACCUUCAAACCAUUUGAGGGAGAAUACUCUAUGAUAUGAUUUAAAUCUCUGGCCAGAGUAUGAAUGAGAUUUGGGAAUGCGUUCCUAAUCACAUUCAAGGU
rnacentral:lncRNA from 1 species